AUACGGAGGAUGCAAGCGUUAUCCGGAUUUAUUGGGUUUAAAGGGUGCGUAGGCGGAUGAUUAAGCGUGAGGUGAAAUGCCACUGCUCAACAGUGGAACUGCCUCGCGAACUGGUUGUCUUGAAUGCUCCUGCCGUGGGAGGAAUGUGUGGUGUAGCGGUGAAAUGCAUAGAGAUCACACAGAACACCGAUUGCGAAGGCAUCUCACGAAGGGGUGAUUGACGCUGAGGCACGAAAGCGUGGGGAUCAAACAGGAUUAGAUACCCUGGUAGUCCACGCAGUAACCGAUGAUAACUAACCGCUGGGUCGUAGUGAUUCAGUGGCCAAGCGAAAGCGAUAAGUUAUCCACCUGGGGAGUACGACCGCAAGGUUGAAACUCAAAUGAAUUGACGGGG
rnacentral:rRNA from 1 species